UAUCCACACAACUCCUGGCUGUCCAACUUUAUCUGACAUGAACCAUUUUGUGUAUAGUUAGUUAUUUUACUUUUGAUAUUUUAAGUAACCUACAUUUCAUGAGAAAUACGUACAGUAUGCACUUGUUACUGAAGUAGCUAAAGGAACAAAAUAUUUCUUCUACCACGGGAUUAUUGACAGAUGGACAUGCCCACAUUUGUAUUAUUUAGUCUAGUUAAAGUAAAUUUUAAAAAGCAAAUGCUGCACCUAACAAGUAUUUUCAUUAUCGACGAAUCUGUUGUUAGUUAAAUAACCUGUUAUUUAUUGAUAAAAUACCAGUGGAAAAAAAAAUGCCAAAGCCUACACUCAUGUCUUCAAACUGGCUGUUUUGUCCAACCAAAAGUCCAAACAUCUGAAAAAGUUAGAAACAGAGCCAUUGACAUUUUAGUUUGAUAACUGACUUAAAUUUGUCAUCGGUUAUCAAAAAAUGUUGACCAAUUUUAAGUCGAUCAUCCAGUCCAGCAGUUUUCUCUUAAAGCUGAUGGAAAGCAUUUAAUAAUUUGCUAAGCGUAAGACAAAAGCAGUAUUAAAAUACUGUAUAAGGAUAUUGGAUGGAAAUCAUAAGUUUGACCAAAGACAAAUGCUCAUAGUUGGUGUCCAGUUCAAAUGUUGUCCAUGUUAGACUGUUUCAUCACAGUGUUUCUCCUUCCUGCCAGCAGAUGUCACUGAUGGGUCUCAGGCAGCAACUGACAGGAUGAUGAUGUCAGAGUUCUGCUGGCCAAUGGGGCUCCGUUCACAGCAGACUGGUGUGACCUUCUGGCUGAGGCCUCGUAUGGAGCUCAAGGCAAAGUGAGAAACACUGAGCAGACACCCACUGAAGUGUGAAACUGCUCUCAGCUCUUAGAUUUUUCUCUUUGCUGUGAUCUGUCUGUGGGGCGCCGUGUAUCUGUGCAGAAGUGUGCUGACAUCAGUGCCAAAAACACACUGAAGAUGACAGUGCUGGGAGGCUCAAGACGGCCACAGGGAGGUGGCCGAGCUCGUGCCGGGGUACGGAGCAGACGUCCACAAGUGUGACAAGAAGAAGUAAUGCUGAGCUGAUGCCACGGCUACAGGCAGCAGAUCAAUUUGGAAAUGAUCAUGACAGAAUUCAGUAUAACUUGGACGGUAUGCACAACCAGGAAAACAUCAACCCUGAGUCCCACUACGUCGUCCCUGCCUGUUAGGGCGGAUCACCACCUCUAAG